rnacentral:rRNA from 1 species
AAAGGCGCGCGAUACAGGGUGACAGCCCCGUACACAAAAAUGCACAUAUUGUGAGCUCGAUGAGUAGGGCGGGACACGUGGUAUCCUGUCUGAAUAUGGGGGGACCAUCCUCCAAGGCUAAAUACUCCUGACUGACCGAUAGUGAACCAGUACCGUGAGGGAAAGGCGAAAAGAACCCCGGCGAGGGGAGUGAAAAAGAACCUGAAACCGUGUACGUACAAGCAGUGGGAGCCUCUUAAUGGGGUGACUGCGUACCUUUUGUAUAAUGGGUCAGCGACUUAUAUUCUGUAGCAAGGUUAACCGAAUAGGGGAGCCGAAGGGAAACCGAGUCUUAACUGGGCGUUAAGUUGCAGGGUAUAGACCCGAAACCCGGUGAUCUAGCCAUGGGCAGGUUGAAGGUUGGGUAACACUAACUGGAGGACCGAACCGACUAAUGUUGAAAAAUUAGCGGAUGACUUGUGGCUGGGGGUGAAAGGCCAAUCAAACCGGGAGAUAGCUGGUUCUCCCCGAAAGCUAUUUAGGUAGCGCCUCGUGAAUUCAUCUCCGGGGGUAGAGCACUGUUUCGGCAAGGGGGUCAUCCCGACUUACCAACCCGAUGCAAACUGCGAAUACCGGAGAAUGUUAUCACGGGAGACACACGGCGGGUGCUAACGUCCGUCGUGAAGAGGGAAACAACCCAGACCGCCAGCUAAGGUCCCAAAGUCAUGGUUAAGUGGGAAACGAUGUGGGAAGGCCCAGACAGCCAGGAUGUUGGCUUAGAAGCAGCCAUCAUUUAAAGAAAGCGUAAUAGCUCACUGGUCGAGUCGGCCUGCGCGGAAGAUGUAACGGGGCUAAACCAUGCACCGAAGCUGCGGCAGCGACACUAUGUGUUGUUGGGUAGGGGAGCGUUCUGUAAGCCUGUGAAGGUGUACUGUGAGGUAUGCUGGAGGUAUCAGAAGUGCGAAUGCUGACAUAAGUAACGAUAAAGCGGGUGAAAAGCCCGCUCGCCGGAAGACCAAGGGUUCCUGUCCAACGUUAAUCGGGGCAGGGUGAGUCGACCCCUAAGGCGAGGCCGAAAGGCGUAGUCGAUGGGAAACAGGUUAAUAUUCCUGUACUUGGUGUUACUGCGAAGGGGGGACGGAGAAGGCUAUGUUGGCCGGGCGACGGUUGUCCCGGUUUAAGCGUGUAGGCUGGUUUUCCAGGCAAAUCCGGAAAAUCAAGGCUGAGGCGUGAUGACGAGGCACUACGGUGCUGAAGCGACAAAUGCCCUGCUUCCAGGAAAAGCCUCUAAGCAUCAGGUAACAUCAAAUCGUACCCCAAACCGACACAGGUGGUCAGGUAGAGAAUACCAAGGCGCUUGAGAGAACUCGGGUGAAGGAACUAGGCAAAAUGGUGCCGUAACUUCGGGAGAAGGCACGCUGAUAUGUAGGUGAAGCGACUUGCUCGUGGAGCUGAAAUCAGUCGAAGAUACCAGCUGGCUGCAACUGUUUAUUAAAAACACAGCACUGUGCAAACACGAAAGUGGACGUAUACGGUGUGACGCCUGCCCGGUGCCGGAAGGUUAAUUGAUGGGGUUAGCGGUAACGCGAAGCUCUUGAUCGAAGCCCCGGUAAACGGCGGCCGUAACUAUAACGGUCCUAAGGUAGCGAAAUUCCUUGUCGGGUAAGUUCCGACCUGCACGAAUGGCGUAAUGAUGGCCAGGCUGUCUCCACCCGAGACUCAGUGAAAUUGAACUCGCUGUGAAGAUGCAGUGUACCCGCGGCAAGACGGAAAGACCCCGUGAACCUUUACUAUAGCUUGACACUGAACAUUGAGCCUUGAUGUGUAGGAUAGGUGGGAGGCUUUGAAGUGUGGACGCCAGUCUGCAUGGAGCCGACCUUGAAAUACCACCCUUUAAUGUUUGAUGUUCUAACGUGGGCCCCUUACCGGGGUUGCGGACAGUGUCUGGUGGGUAGUUUGACUGGGGCGGUCUCCUCCUAAAGAGUAACGGAGGAGCACGAAGGUUGGCUAAUCCUGGUCGGACAUCAGGAGGUUAGUGCAAUGGCAUAAGCCAGCUUGACUGCGAGCGUGACGGCGCGAGCAGGUGCGAAAGCAGGUCAUAGUGAUCCGGUGGUUCUGAAUGGAAGGGCCAUCGCUCAACGGAUAAAAGGUACUCCGGGGAUAACAGGCUGAUACCGCCCAAGAGUUCAUAUCGACGGCGGUGUUUGGCACCUCGAUGUCGGCUCAUCACAUCCUGGGGCUGAAGUAGGUCCCAAGGGUAUGGCUGUUCGCCAUUUAAAGUGGUACGCGAGCUGGGUUUAGAACGUCGUGAGACAGUUCGGUCCCUAUCUGCCGUGGGCGCUGGAGAACUGAGGGGGGCUGCUCCUAGUACGAGAGGACCGGAGUGGACGCAUCACUGGUGUUCGGGUUGUCAUGCCAAUGGCACUGCCCGGUAGCUAAAUGCGGAAGAGAUAAGUGCUGAAAGCAUCUAAGCACGAAACUUGCCCCGAGAUGAGUUCUCCCUGACUCCUUGAGAGUCCUGAAGGAACGUUGAAGACGACGACGUUGAUAGGCCGGGUGUGUAAGCGCAGCGAUGCGUUGAGCUAACCGGUACUAAUGAACCGUGAGGCUUAACCUUACAACGCCGAAG